rnacentral:misc_RNA from 1 species
GCCGGCCUUUGCGGUCGGCUCCUCUCAAAUGGAUCAGCUUGCCAGCGUUUGGGGGCAUCGUAGGUGUGAUAACUAUCUCGCCCGCGGUCGCCUGCCAUGUAACCUUUGGCAACGGAGGUUCGCUGGGGCUUAUGAAAGCCCGAGGACGGGCAUUUCGAACGUUCGAUCUCAAAUCAGGUAGGACUACCCGCUGAACUUAA